GGGGGCGACAGGUUUCGACAGCAUGACGGAAGGUCCGGAAGCGCGAGCCGAGGAUGGGGCAGCCUCGUAAAUCAGGCUCUAAAACAAUAAUUGCCAACGAAGAAUUCGCACUGGCUGCUUAGUUAAAAGCGGUCACGUCCUUCAAGGGCUCGGCCGUUGGAACUUGAAAGGGCGUCGAACAGACGGCUGGAAUCGCGGUAACAUCUUCCGAUCGCGGUUCGAGACUCUAAAGAAGAUUAGGCAUUUCAAAUCCUGUCCCUGGGAGUUGAAACGCUGAAAGCAAAACAAGGACUACGCUCGUAGUGCAUCCCGAUUGUCCCUUGUUGGACCGGAGUUCGAUUCUCCGCGCCUCCACCA
rnacentral:tmRNA from 1 species